rnacentral:rRNA from 1 species
CAGUCGCCGCGGUAAUGCGUAGGUGGCAAGCGUUGUCCGGAAUUAUUGGGCGUAAAGGGCUCGCGGGCGGUUUCUUAAGUCUGAUGUGAAAGCCCCCGGCUCAACCGGGGAGGGUCAUUGGAAACUGGGAAACUUGAGUGCAGAAGAGGAGAGUGGAAUUCCACGUGUAGCGGUGAAAUGCGUAGAGAUGUGGAGGAACACCAGUGGCGAAGGCGACUCUCUGGUCUGUAACUGACGCUGAGGAGCGAAAACGUGGGGAGCGAACAGGAUUAGAUACCCCGGUAGUCCCUGUCUCUUAUAC